UUAAUUCCACUACAAAUCUUAAACAUAACCUAACAUUUUCAGAUUUCAAUUUCAACCGGUUUUUUCUACAGGAUUAAAAAUAAAAAGGAUUCCUCCGUAUGGAAUCGAUUUAAAACGUGGCAAAUCUGGAUGUGAAAGCCGAAAUAAUUGCUGCCAAUGAGCCACAAGAAUUCGUUUCACGUGGAAGGCAGCUAGCAAAUCAACAUCCGGGUCCUAUUGAAGUUCUUUAAACGGAAGCUGAAGGUCACGAUAAGUUCUUAAUUAAAGACUUUGAAAAAGUUUAUUGUUGCCGAUCAAUGUUCAGAAAAGUAAAUUUUAAGGCUUAGCCCGGAAUAUUUUGAUGAUUACACCAUUAAGACAGUUAAAGACGAAAAUAAAAGUAAUAAUUUAGAACAAGAACAAAACGAAAAUAAGUAUUUUGUAGAUGUAUGUAUUUCGACCACUUUGUAUAAAUUUUGCACAAAAAUUAAAUUAAUUCUAAAAGUUAA
rnacentral:lncRNA from 1 species